UUCAACUUAAGAAUUAAAUGCUCUUUUGUCCACCAGCCUCAGUUGACCAGACCCUUUGAAAUAGCAAGCAAGGUGCUCUGUUCCUAUAUCCAAGAAUAAGAAACCCAUGCAGGACUUGUUAAUAGCAAGAUCAUGCUGUCACUUAGGUGAAGCUCUUUAGAUCGCCGUAUUACCUGGGAUAUGUCUGGAAAUGUUUAGGAUUGUUUUUCAACUUGAGGCUCUGCCCCUUGGAAGGGAAAACUCUGGUGGAAUCACAGCUGUCCUGAACUGAUGUGCCACCUGCUCUGUAGAUUUUCACCACUUGUCAGACAACCAGCCCUGUGGGCUCACUCAGGUUUAUAAAAGUGAGGGCAAUGACUGAGGACAGCCCGUUUGGCAGUUCACAACACUCCUCACACUGACAGUGAUGACUCCAAUGGCAAGCCCAGUGAGUCUGCAGAGUUGAGCACAGG
rnacentral:lncRNA from 1 species